rnacentral:rRNA from 1 species
GACGAACGCUGGCGGCGUGCUUAACACAUGCAAGUCGAACGCUGAACCCGCUUCGGUGGGGGAUGAGUGGCGAACGGGUGAGUAACACGUGGGCAACCUGCCCCCGGCUCUGGGAUAACUCCAAGAAAUUGGGGCUAAUACCGGAUGUGACCGCUGGCCGCAUGGUCUGGUGGUGGAAAGGGUUUCCGGCUGGGGAUGGGCCCGCGGCCUAUCAGCUUGUUGGUGGGGUAGUGGCCUACCAAGGCGACGACGGGUAGCCGGCCUGAGAGGGUGACCGGCCACAAUGGGACUGAGACACGGCCCAGACUCCUACGGGAGGCAGCAGUGGGGAAUAUUGCGCAAUGGGCGGAAGCCUGACGCAGCGACGCCGCGUGGGGGAUGACGGCCUUCGGGUUGUAAACCUCUUUCAGCAGGGACGAAGCGCAAGUGACGGUACCUGCAGAAGAAGCACCGGCCAACUACGU